rnacentral:snRNA from 1 species
GAUCCGUAACUUCGGGAAAAGGA